AGCUUACCAUACAUUAACAAUUAUCCUAGCUUUGUUAAGUACAUAACCCUAGAUCUUGUGGAUAUUGUUCACAACAACGUCAAGUCAAAGUAAAUCGAAUGAUUGGCUUACAACUCGUGGACUCGUUAGAUCAAACUCCAUUGCAAUGAAAUGGAAGAACACAUUCCUUAGACUUGAAUUGUGUUUUAGAUUUUAGAAUUGCUCAUAUAGCCGCACUAAGAGCAAGACAAUUGCGGUAUGACAAAAAUCACAAUUUAAAUUCUCUAUUUUUUAGUUCUUCAAAUAUAUUUAUGAUAACAAAAUAGUCCUUUUAAAUUUAUGCUGUUGAUUCAACCACCAACUCUUUUUGGUCUUUUGAAUGCAGAUCUCUAGGUUUGAUGCAGUACACACGAGACCCAAGAUGCUGAACUUCAAGCCCAGCAACCUCACAACCACUGAAAAAUAAAGAUACAUCCUCCUUUCCAAUCCUGCGUCUCCAACUCAUUAAAAAUGCAGGCCUGGGCAACCCCAUGAAUGUUCCUCCAUUCUGUUCAUUAGCUGCGACUACUUCGUCAUUUUUUGGCUUGUAAGAUUUGAGGAGAAAGGAAAGAGUUUCUAUCAGGUUCGAGUACUGUUUCACAUACAAUAAUAUAUCACUAGCUAUAACCAAGUCCCAGUCAGGAUCAGCAAUUGGAAACGUGUCACCCCAUGUAUGCUUUAUGUGAGGAAGGACAGGUGUGAUUCCAUUUGCAGCACAGUUAUAAGCUAUGUUCUCUUCAAUUUCUUGAUCAUUGUAGUCUGAUGUCGUGAUAUCAAGAUUAAAUGAUCUGCUAAGAAAAAUAGCUAAAGUUCCUGUGCCACUGCCAUCGAGUGAAAUUAUUUGCAUCAACUGUAAGUUAAAAACUAUAUGGAAGAGUAGCUAUUGAACUAAGGGCAUAUAGGCAAGGAGAAAGGGGUACCAACAGGAUGGAAAGAUGAAUUAUGGUCCAACAUCACCUUAGGUGAGUUAGAUGUGAGGAAUACUACUAAUACAUCACAAAGUUGAGGGGAAGAAACAAGGAUAGUACCUGCCCAAUUCAAUGCAACGGCGUCUUUCUAUAUGUGACCUAUGCUGAACUAACCAUUCUGCAAAUGCAAAUGUCCCUGGCCAGAGUAAAUUAGCAUUCAGCCGAUGAAAAGAAAAUUCUCGGAUGAGCAACUCCUGCAUACAAGCCAAAAGACAUAGCAUGAAGACUGAAGAUCAUAAGAGCCCAACCAACCCUAAACAACCAUUCCUGAAACAGAAUGACCAAGAUGCUUUAUCAUAUACACAAUAAUUACACAAACAUGAACAGCUGCAUCCUCAUAUGAUAAUACCGCAUAAAUUAGUAACAAAAACCCAAAUAGUUGAAAUCCCAAAUCUAACUCUUUCAUAUGCUGCCCUCAAAAACUGAACUCAAUAACAGCAACACGUUUUAUUCAAUAAAAUCCUCUCAAUUUCUACUUACCUAAAUUCAGAUUCACAUAGCAAGAAACAACUGUGCUAUAUGGUGACAGCAUCCAAUUCAAGGACUCAUUCAUAUGGUCUUCAUACUUAAAUGACUAAGGCUUGAUUGCAAAAUUUAAUACUUAAGCACAGCAAAAAGGGGGGAAAAAAAAGUGAAAAUGAAACCUCAUAAAAAGAAUUUGCGUUACUUAACCAAACAUAUGCUACCCAAUUCAUCAAUCCAACAUUUUAAAGAGUACAUUUGAAAGUUGAAUAUGAAAUACUCAGUUAAACAGUAUGUGCCACU
rnacentral:misc_RNA from 1 species